rnacentral:rRNA from 1 species
ACGGGUAACGGGGAAUAAGGGUUCGGUUCCGGAGAGGGAGCCUGAGAAACGGCUACCACAUCCAAGGAAGGCAGCAGGCGCGCAAAUUACCCAAUCCCGACACGGGGAGGUAGUGACAAUAAAUAACGAUGCAGGGCCCUUUCGGGUCUUGUAAUUGGAAUGAGUACAAUGUAAAUACCUUAACGAGGAACAAUUGGAGGGCAAGUCUGGUGCCAGCAGCCGCGGUAAUUCCAGCUCCAAGAGCGUAUAUUAAAGUUGUUGCAGUUAAAAAGCUCGUAGUUGAACCUUGGGUUUUGGAGGGAGGUCCACCUCACGGUGAGUACUUCCAUAUCCAAGACCUUUCCUCUGCUUCCUCGCAAGAGGCAGCAGAAUAUUACUUUGAGUAAAUGAGAGUGUUCAAAGCAGGCGCACGCUUGAAUCUGUUAGCAUGGAAUAAUAGAAUAGGACGCAUGGUUCUAUUUUGUUGGUUUCUAGGACCAUCGUAAUGAUUAAUAGGGACGGUCGGGGGCAUCAGUAUUCAGUUGUCAGAGGUGAAAUUCUUGGAUUUACUGAAGACUAACUACUGCGAAAGCAUUUGCCAAGGACGUUUUCAUUAAUCAAGAACGAAAGUUAGGGGAUCGAAGAUGAUCAGAUACCGUCGUAGUCUUAACCAUAAACUAUGCCGACUAGGGAUCGGGCGGCGUUCAUCUAGUGACGCGCUCGGCACCUUACGAGAAAUCAAAGUUUUUGGGUUCUGGGGGGAGUAUGGUCGCAAGGCUGAAACUUAAAGGAAUUGACGUAAGGGCACCACCAGGAGGGACCUGCGGCUUAAUUUGACUCAACACGGGGAAACUCACCAGGUCCAGCACA